rnacentral:rRNA from 1 species
UACGUAGGGUGCAAGCGUUAAUCGGAAUUACUGGGCGUAAAGCGUGCGCAGGCGGUGAUGUAAGACAGAUGUGAAAGCCCUGGGCUCAACCCAGGAACUGCAUUUGAAACUCCCUUUCUUGAGUGUCGGAGAGGAAAGCGGAAUUCCUGGUGUAGAGGUGAAAUUCGUAGAUAUCAGGAGGAACACCGGUGGCGAAGGCGGCUUUCUGGACGACAACUGACGCUGAGACGCGAAAGCGUGGGGAGCAAACAGG